GCACUAAUAUUUCUGACAAUUCGCUAUUUCGCCAAGCCAAUCCUUUAAAUUGAAAGGGCACCUUUGCCCCUCUUGCCCCUCCUGUUAAAGGGCAACGGGGGGCGGCUAUCCCUCCUGCCCCCCAGUUCCGGCGUCCCUGGAUAAACGAUUUGAAUAUUUAUGCCCAAGGCAUCAUGCAGGCAUGAGUUAUCAGUGGUUGCACAUUGCAGUGCCGGCAUGUCGAAGUUUUUGACCAAAUCGUAUUAUUUUUAUAUAUGCGUGGGUUUCACAAAAUGUCAGCAAAUUGUGGUCAAUUGUAAACAAAAACACUAUGUAUGUUCACUAUAUGUUUUAACCUUAUGUUUGGCAGCAAAUACAAGCAAUUUAGCUUCAUUUUCUCGCUCUCAUAAGGCAUUAGCAUCAAUAUAGUUACAAUACAAUAUUUGUGAAGCUUAGGCAAGCGACGGUGUUGAGACUCACUUAUUGACGUCUAUUUCUUCAAUUUAUUUCUUCAAAAUUUAUUAUACUUUAGCCAUGUAGUGUCCACCACACGAAAAUG